UGACGAGCCCCAAAAGGGCGAAACAGCUGUCCGCAGUUGCUGGUAGUGAGCUUGGGGCACAAUUGUCAUUGCCUAUAGGCCUUUGCGCUAUAUAUAUAUAUAUAUAUAUAUAUAUAUAUAUAUAUAUAUAUAUAUAUAUAUAUAUAUAUAUAUAUAUAUAUAUAUAUAUAUAUAUAUAUAUGCCCUUGAGUGAGUA